GCAGCAGGCUGGGAUCCCCUCUGGCCAGGGCACUGAGGGGAAGGGAGGCAGGACCCCCAGAGGGACAACAGACUGGGAGUACUGGGACCUGCUGUGACAAGGGGAGGGGAGGCAGUGUUAGGGCUGGUAGGGGGGACCCAGGAGGCAGAAGGGGGCUCGGCCCUGAGGCAGGAGGCUGCGGCUUACAGAUGUUAGACCUUUCCUAAGAAAGCAGCACUGACUCCAGGUGUCUCCCUUCUGCGGAUCCAUCUACACAGUGCUGAGUGAGAGUAAAUAUAAAUGAGAGAUAAUGAGAGGAUGAUGAGAGAUGAUGAGAGGAUGAUGAGAGACAAUGAGAGAUGAUGAGAGAUGAGAAGUUGAUGAGAGACAAUGAGAGAUAAUGAGAGGUUGAUGAGAGAUGAUGAGAUAAUGAGAGAUGAUGAGAGAUAAUGAGAGAUGAUGAGAGACAAUGAGAGACAAUGAGAGAUGAUGAGAUGAUGAUGAGAGAUGAUGAGAGGUUCAUGAGAGAUGAUGAGAUAAUGAGAGGAUGAUGAAAGAUAAUGAGAGACAAUGAGAGGUUGAUGAGAUGAUGAUGAGAGAUGAUGAGAGAUGAUGAGAAGUUGAUGAGAUGAUGAUGAAAGACGAUGAGAGGUUGAUGAGAUGAUGAUGAGAGACGAUGAGAGGUUGAUGAGAGACAAUGAAAGAUGAUGAGAGAUGAUGAGAGGAUGAUGAGAGACAAUGAGAGGUUGAUGAGAUGAUGAGGAGAGAUGAUGAGAGAUGAUGAGAAGUUGAUGAGAGACAAUGAGAGAUGAUGAGAUGAUGAGAGAUGAUGAGAGGUUCAUGAGAGAUGAUGAGAUAAUGAGGAUGAUGAAAGAUAAUGAGAGACAAUGAGAGGUUGAUGAGAUGAUGAGGAGAGAUGAUGAGAGAUGAUGAGAAGUUGAUGAGAGACAAUGAGAGAUGAUGAGAUGAUGAUGA